rnacentral:rRNA from 1 species
GGAUUAGAUACCCUGGUAGUCCACGCCCUAAACGAUGUGUACUGGAUCGGGGAGGUUUUGACGCCAUCCCGGUCGAAGCUAAAGCGUUAAGUACACCGCCUGGGGAGUACGGUCGCAAGAUUAAAACUCAAAGGAAUUGACGGGGGCUCACACAAGCGGUGGAGCAUGUGGCUUAAUUCGAAACAACGCGAAGAACCUUAUCCAGGGUUUGACAUGCACGGAUUAGCUCGGUGAAAGUCGAGUGACACCCUUGGGUGGAACGUGCACAGGUGCUGCAUGGCUGUCGUCAGCUCGUGCCG